UAGGUUUUGGGAUUUGAGAAUGGGUUCGGGUUUAGGUAGGUUUUGGUUUUGGUUUAGGUUAAGGUUUAGGUUUAGGUUAUAGGUUCGGGAUUGGGUUUAAGUUUGGGUUUUCAAGUUUAGGUUUAGGUUUAGGUUAGGGAGUUGAGAUUAGGAUUAGGUGUAGGUUUAGCUUUAGGGAAUUGAGUUUAGGUUAUAAGUUUAGGAAAAGGUUAGGUUUAGGUUAUAGGUUUUGGGAUUUGGGAAUAGUUUUAGGUUAUAAGUAUAGCU